rnacentral:rRNA from 1 species
AAAUGGCCGCAGUAUUUUAACUGUGCAAAGGUAGCAUAAUCAUUAGUCUUUUAAUUGAAGGCUUGUAUGAAUGGUUGGACGAAAUAUUAACUGUUUCAUAAAAAUUAUUAGAAUUUUAUUUUUUAGUUAAAAAGCUAAAAUGUUUUUAAAAGACGAGAAGACCCUAUAGAUCUUUAUAAUUUAUAUAUUAUAGUUAUUUAGAUUAUUUAAAUUAUGAUUAUAUAAAUUAUUUUGUUGGGGUGACAUUAAAAUUUAAUAAACUUUUAAUUGAUGAGUACAUUAAUUUAUGAAUAAUUGAUCCAUUAUUAGUGAUUAAAAAAUUAAGUUACCUUAGGGAUAACAGCGUAAUUUUUUUGAAGAGUUCAUAUCGAUAAAAAAGAUUGCGACCUCGAUGUUGGAUUAAGAUAUAAUUUUGGGUGCAGCAAUUCAAUUAUUAAGUC